rnacentral:rRNA from 1 species
AAGCUCGUAGUUGAAUUUCGGGAUUAGUACGUUGGUCGUGCCUUAGGUACGUACUGGUGUUACUGGUUCCUACCUUCUGACGAACCAUCAUGUCAUUAAUUUGGUGUGGUGGGGAAUCAGGACUGUUACUUUGAAAAAAUUAGAGUGUUUAAAGCAGGCUCGCGCUUGAAUACAUUAGCAUGGAAUAAUGAAAUAGGACGUUGAUCCUAUUUUGUUGGUUUCUAGGAUUGACGUAAUGAUUAAAGGAGGUAUUAGGGUCGGUGUAGGACGGGGCCGGUCGGUCGGAACGGAACGG